UCUGCCGCUCUGUUACGGGGUCAGGGGAAGCUGAGACGGGCAAUCACUGGAGAGGCGCCUGCUGAAACCCGCCCAUUCUUCCCAUGCCCAGAGGAAACGCCGCCCCCUCCGGGAAGUCCACGAGCGUACAGGAGAGGGACCUGCAAGCAGUACAAGGACCGGAACAUGCUGUGAGCUGACCAGCCACUGGGCUGGCUGUUUAGUUGGCAAAUGACCUAAUCAAUGGUUGACUAAAUGAAUGGAUGAAUGAAUCGCAGAUCCACAAAUCCACCGAGCUGUUCAAUCCUGAAUGGAAAGCUCCAGUCUAAUCAGGAAAAAACAUCCGACAAACUGAAACUGAGGAGCACCCACAAAACGCCUCAUCGGUGCUUUUCAAAAGGGUCCAGGUCAUGAAAGCCAAGGAAGAGCUGAGACACCAUCUCACAUCGGAGGAGGCCCGCUGACUGAAUGCACCCCAGUGGUCCUGGGUGGAAAUAGUAAAAGUGCAUUAGUGGAAAGCUGGUGAAAUCCAAAGAAAGUCUGCAGUUGGUGACAGUUUUGACUCAGUGUUAAUUUCAUAGUUUUGACAAAUGUACCAUGGCUAUGGAAGACAUUAACAUUAGGGGGACCUGGGUGGAGGGUACAUGGGACUGUGUACUAUUUUUACAACUUUUCUUUCUUUGAGACGGAGUUUCACUCUUGUUGCCCCGGUUGUGUGCAAUGGUGUGAUCUUGGCUCACCGAAACCUCUGCCUCCCUGGUUCAAGUGAUUCUUCUGCCUCAGCCUCCUGAGUAGCUGGGAUUACAGGUGUAUGCCAUCAACCCAGCUAAUUUUAUAUUUUUACUAGAGAUAAGGUUUCACCAUAUUGGUCAGGCUGGUCUCGAACUCCUAACCUCAGGUGAGCCGCCCGCCUGGGCCUCCCCAUGUGCUGGGAUUACAGGCGUGAGCCACUGUGCCCACCUGUUUGUUUUUUGAGGAGUCUCACUGUGUCUCUCAGGCUGGAGCCACAUGCAUGGUCCCCCGCCAUCUCCAGGCCUGCCCCUCAGCCCCACCUGGCAUGUAUGUAUUGCUCCUUUAUCCUCUCUCUCCCACGCCUCCACAUCUCUCUCUCUUUCUCUCUCUCUCUCUCUCUCACACACACACACACACACACACACACACACAGAAAACUUCCAUGAGAUUGCAGUGGCACAAUCUCAGUUGACUGCAACCUCCGCCUCCUGGGUUCAAGUGAUUCUCCUGCCUCAGUCUCCCAAGUAGCUGGGAUUACAGGUACUCACCACCAAGCCCAGCUAAUUUUUUGUAUUUUUAGUAGAGACAGGAUUUCACUAUGUUGACCAGGCUGGUCUCAAACUCCUGACCUCAUGUGAUCCACCCACCUCAGCCUCCCAAAGUGCUGGGAUUACGGGUGUGAGCCAACGUGCCCAGCCUAUUUUUGCAAGCU